CGUAAUUCACCACUGUAGCUCCUACAAUCAAUUGCGAAUCCACUCUUAUCAGAAAAAAAAAUUAAUAAUCACGGUCAUACUUCGUGACUAUGACCUCUACAAUACUAGUGAAGACUGAUGAACACAGCCAUACUUCACCACUGUGGCUCCUACAAUCAAUUACAAAUCCAUUCUUAUAAGAGAAAAUACUAGUACCAUUGAUAGGGAGUGUUUCAUCAACAGUCAUUUUUAGUCAAUACAACUUUCCCCCAGUGAAAACAGUCAAACAAAUUUUCAAUUCUUUCCUCUUUCCUUUAACAUUUUAGAGUCAUAGAUAAUCUUACAAUUAGAACACGGUAAAAAUCCAAUAGCAUAUUCUGGCCAACAGAAACCUUCACACUCUUAUUUCACCAUCGGAUCACCUUUUUGAGAUGAGGCCCAAUUAUGAUAAUUGAUAGAGGGCCAAGCCGUAGAUACACAUCAAUCAUUUUCACUUGAAUGAAGAUCAAAGACAUGUAUCCCAACUCAUCAAACAUUUAAUAAUUUACUCGCAAACAAUAUUCAUUUGCAUGCAUUAAAAAUAAAUUAAUAUUCAUUAAUUUAAUUUUUCUAUAAAUUUCACUUAGGAGAGUAAGAAAAAUACUGAGAAAUCUCUUAUUUCAAGGAGGCUGUUGGUGAUUUUGAAAAGAUGGAAAAGUUGCUCCAUGAUCCGUAAAUCGUAUGAAGAAAAUUAAACUUCCUAUCUCUUCUCACAAAUUUUCCUCUAAUUUUCACUUUAAGAACUGU
rnacentral:lncRNA from 1 species